rnacentral:lncRNA from 1 species
UUUAGGGUUUACGUUUAGGGUUUAGAGUUAAUGUUUUAGGGUUUAAAUUUGAAGGUUUAGGAUUUAGGGUUUUAGGGUUUAGGGUUCGAAUUUCGGAAAAUAUAGGGUUUAUGGUUUAAGACUAGGGUUUAGAAUUGAUGUUUCGGGGUUUAGGGUUUAGAAUUGAUGUUUCGGGGUUUAGGGGUUUAGUUUUGAUGAUUUAAAGUUUUUAGUUGAUGUUUUAAGUUGAGAUUAGUUAACCAUAGGUUUUUUUUUUCAAAGUUAAUCAAAGGGUUAUAAAUGUCUUUUACCCUUCAUUAAAAAUGAGGGUAAAAAUGGUUAGUAUAAACAUGAAAAGUGGUAUUUUGAAAGUGGUAUUUUUGGCAAUUUUUCAAUUAUAUAUUAUCAAAAAUAUAUAUCACACAAUUAAUCAAAUAAAUUACAGAUAUCUUAGUGAAAAAUCAUUAAAAAAUUGUUGAAAUA